GCUUGUUCAAAGAAUUGCUCCUGCAAAGCGGCUAUUUUUAAAUAUGGUUCUGAUUCUGCCAGAAGUUAUUGCUACUUGCCAAAUCAGAUAUUUUCACUGAUAAACAAUGAUAGGAGAGGAGUUCAUUAUAACACUACUGUAUAUUUAAAGGUGCAAAAUGCCUCAAAUACGGAAGCAAGAGUUCCUCAGCAGAAAAGGAAAAGCAGGUCGACAAUUAUACGG
rnacentral:misc_RNA from 1 species